rnacentral:rRNA from 1 species
GAUGAACGCUGGCGGCGUGCCUAAUACAUGCAAGUCGAGCGAACGGACGAGAAGCUUGCUUCUCUGAUGUUAGCGGCGGACGGGUGAGUAACACGUGGAUAACCUACCUAUAAGACUGGGAUAACUUCGGGAAACCGGAGCUAAUACCGGAUGAUAUUUUGAACCGCAUGGUUCAAAAGUGAAAGACGGUCUUGCUGUCACUUAUAGAUGGAUCCGCGCUGCAUUAGCUAGUUGGUAAGGUAACGGCUUACCAAGGCAACGAUGCAUAGCCGACCUGAGAGGGUGAUCGGCCACACCGGAACUGAGACACGGUCCAGACUCCUACGGGAGGCAGCAGUAGGGAAUCUUCCGCGAUGGGCGAAAGCCUAACGGAGCAACGCCGCGUGAGUGAUGAAGGUCUUCGGAUCGUAAAACUCUGUUAUUAGGGAAGAACAUAUGUGUAAGUAACUGUGCACAUCUUGACGGUACCUAAUCAGAAAGCCACGGCUAACUACGUG